rnacentral:misc_RNA from 1 species
CCCCAAUGGGUUCUCCGGAUUUCUGGAGACUUGUAGGGGUUGUGGGAUUUUUGAUGUGUCGUCUCCGGACGGGCGGUGCAGGGUAGUCAAGUUAGACUUGGUGGAAUUCCGUCGAUAGGAGUUCCGUCGAGUCUGGUCGGCUGUGUGUUGGACGGUGUAGGGUAGGCUGCUUGGACAUGGUCGGUUCGAGGAUCGAUUCGAGGGCCGGCCUGUCGAUGAUGUGUGAUGUAUGCGGUCUAGGGUAGGUUGGUUUGUCUUGGUUCGAUUUGAUGUCGGCUCCCGUGCAGGCCAGAGUGAGGGGGGUCCAGGGUAGGUACAGGGUAGGCAGCUUAGAUUUGGUCGAUCUGGAGGUCGAUUCUCCGGCUGGCGGAUCUGACACUGCCGACCCCACAUGCAAAAGGUGUCGGGUAGGCUAGUUUCGUCCUCGCCAGGUUGCGAUUUGGACGAGAUAUGUGGUUUAUGGUAGGCUCUAGGGUAAGUAGAAUUCGAGUUUCGUCGCCGAUAGUUUUCUAUGGGUGUAUGGUAGGUACAGGGUAGGCAAAUCUCUCUCCGGCCAGUACUUGUCUGGUGGUCGUGAGUCGAUUUUUUUGUUUUGCCAUACUAUUGAAUUUUGCGGAAAUUCAAAAGUGGCUCGGGAGUCCCGCCUGGCGUGCGUCCGACUCGAACAUCGUCGGUGUACAUAUGAGAGGGAGUAAUCCGGCCCGGCCGGGGCCCAUCGCGAGCUGCCGGGUAGGUAAAAGUAAAAAAGUUGUUAAGAGGCGCGGUGUCGGCGUGCUUGUAUUUGCGGGAGAGAAUUAUCUGGGGGUGCUGGGUAGCCGGGAAGACUUGGACGGAUCUGGCCCGGGAAUGGGUCUGGGCCUGGAUUCUGGUGUGGUGUAGGGUAGGCGUAGAUAGAUGAGUGGUCUGGGGUAGAUACAGGGUAGCCAGACGUCUGGUAUAUAGUAUGGGGGUGUAGGGUAGGUCUGGACACCGUUUUCCACUUCGCCCUUCCCUUUAGUCGAGGGAGGACGAUCUUGGCUGGGACGGAGGUGUAGGGUAGGCUUAAUUUACGAUUACAUGAUCUGUGUCACUCUAGGGUAGGUGAAAAUCCCAUACAUAUCUGAUCAUAUUUGGUGAAGAGGUGGUUUGGCUGGUGAGAUGGACAAAAGUGCAAUGUAGAAUUAUAUGUGAUUUUGCAAAAGUGGGUGUGAAAUUGGAAAGUGGGUUUUCCCGCACAGAUGAGAGCACGUUUGAGGUGCCAUGAGAUGCACCUCUCCGAGACGACCUCAACGGUACCACCCAUGUGUUGGUCGGGCUCCUGUGCGGCCGCCCAGGGCGGGAUAAGUAGAGAAUGUGGUGGUGUAGGGUAGGUGACCAGGUCCAGGGUAGGUUCACCAAAUCCAUCAAUCCGGCUUGAAUCGAAGGACAGGUCUAGGGUAGGCCAGAGUCGGGUCUAGGGUAGGCAAUCCUCACCCUCGAAGUGGUCUACCCGGUAGCCAACUUCAAUCGCCUCUCACGGCCGCCACAGACCUCGCAUGACGACGGGACUACCACCAUCGGAUUCGCCUUGGUCGAAAUAGCUGGUAUAUGCACUUUUGAAAAAAUGCGUGCAAAAUGGUUUUGUGGUUUGGUGGCCGUGAGUCGAUUUUUUUGUUUUCCUAUACAAAUGAAUUUUGCGGAAAAUAAAAAGUGGCCCACGA